UGGCGGACACCUCUCAGCUGUCUCACCUACCUCCCAUUCCAACUGCUAGAAACAACAUUUCCCAGAAUGCCUUGCAGCCGGGUUCUGCAGGUGAUUUAGAUCCUUCUAGCUAUGAUGCAUGGAAGCUUUUUUGGCCAUCUUGCUACUGACCAACACACAGAGAGGGGCAGUUCCCAGAAAACACAGAAAAGAUGGAGUGCUGAAGUACUUGCCUGGUGUCCUGUCUUCCCAUCUCUGGACUUCCUUAUAUAUGAGGUCAGGAAUCUGGACACAACUUAUCUGAGUGCCUCUGCCAAAAUAUCUCCCCCAAGGUUGUAACCAAGGUGUUGUCCAGAGCUGUGGUCUCAUCUUACAGCUGGACCAGGGGAAGAUCUGCAACCAAGCUCAUGUACAUGGUUGUUGGCAGGAUUCAGUUCCUCAUAAGCUGUUGAACUGAGGACUACAGAUUCUCAUUAGUUGGGUAGAGGCUUCACCGAGCUCCUUGCCAUAUGUCUUCUUCUUAGGGCAGUUCAACAUGGCAGCUGACUUAA